AUGGUAUGCACUGGCUCGGUGACUCCUCCUUCUUGUAGAACCGUAAUGCCAUUAAUUUGGUGUUGCGGGGAAACAGGACUGUUACUUUGAAAAAAUUAGAGUGUUUAAAGCAGGCCAACGCCUGAAUACAUUAGCAUGGAAUAAUGAAAUAGGACGUUUGAUUCUAUUUUGUUGGUUUCUAGGAUCGACGUAAUGAUUAAUAGGGAUAGUUGGGGGCAUUAGUAUUCAAUUGUCAGAGGUGAAAUUCUUGGAUUUAUUGAAGACUAACUACUGCGAAAGCAUUUGCCAAGGAUGUUUUCAUUAAUCAAGAACGAAAGUUAGAGGAUCGAAGACGAUCAGAUACCGUCGUAGUCUUAACCAUAAACUAUGCCGACUAGGGAUCGGAUGAUGUUAAUUUUUUAAUGACUCAUUCGGCGCCUUACG
rnacentral:rRNA from 1 species